ensembl:lncRNA
CUGCGCUCUUCCUGUUUACCGGCAUUCAACAGAGGUCUGUGGUUAAAACACAGCCGUUUGGGCAUUUUAACACCGCUUGUGUCAUUUUGUGGGGCUUUGCGUACACUGGAGAGUCUAUUGUAAACAACCGUUACGUGCGGUCUGGCUCGUUACACUGCCUAGUCCCAGCAUUCCCGUGUGUUUACCGUUUGAGUGGGGACAUCCAAUAUAUGCUGUUUGGCAUCUACUUCAUUUCUAUCCCGUGGAUACUGACGUCAGCUCUGCUUUCUGGUGUGGCAAACGGCUGCGUUAUUUGGGGCUAAGACUGAGCUGUGUGUCCGACGGCAGUGAGGCUUUCCUUCACCGUGUGCUGUGUUAUGCUGUGUGAGCACCACUGAUAAAAUCACGGGAACAAGACAGCAGCGUAGACUCUUUGAAGGGUCUCUUUGGCUACCUCCCCUGAUUGUGUUUCAGGUCCAAAUUUUCUUUCUGCCCCGCCUUGCUUGGUGGAGCUGUGUGUCCGACGGCAGUGAGGCUUUCCUUCACCGUGUGCUGUGUUAUGCUGUGUGAGCACCACUGAUAAAAUCACGGGUAUUGGAGUGAGUGU